UACAGAGGGGGCAAGCGUUAUUCGGAAUUAUUGGGCGUAAAGAGCGUGUAGGCGGCCAUACAGGUCCGUUGUGAAAACUCGAGGCUUAACCUCGAGACGUCGAUGGAAACCGUAUGGCUAGAGUCCGGAAGAGGAGAGUGGAAUUCCUGGUGUAGCGGUGAAAUGCGCAGAUAUCAGGAGGAACGCCGGUGGCGAAGGCGGGUCUCUGGGCAACAACUGACGCUGAGGAGCGAAAGCGUGGGGAGCGAACAGG
rnacentral:rRNA from 1 species